UUACCUGGAUAGUCUCAUCUGGCUGGACAUGCAGGAGAACUGGGAGACUGCCGAGACUGCCACGUGGGGUGACUUGAGGGAUCUUUGACACUCUCUGUCUUAAUCUGUUUUGUGUUGCUAUAACAGAAUACACAGACUAAGUAAUUUAUAAAGAAAGGAAAUUUACUUCUCACAGUUUUGGAGGCUGAGAAGUCCAAGACUGAGGGGCUGGCAUCUGACGAGGGCCUUCUUGCUGCUUCAUUCCACGGCAAAAUGGCAAAGAGAAGAUGAGAAGAAAGGCUCAAAGGGACGGUGGGACUUGACUGAGGACCCAGCACCUCCUGGACCUGAAUCAAGGCCCUCUGUCCCGCUGCUUUUGUUGUUGUUUACCCUGCAACUUCACAGCCCUUCAGAAG
rnacentral:lncRNA from 10 species